GACGAACGCUGGCGGCGUGCCUAAUACAUGCAAGUAGAACGCUGAAGAGAGGAGCUUGCUCUUCUUGGAUGAGUUGCGAACGGGUGAGUAACGCGUAGGUAACCUGCCUUGUAGCGGGGGAUAACUAUUGGAAACGAUAGCUAAUACCGCAUAACAAUGGAUGACACAUGUCCUUUAUUUGAAAGGGGCAAUUGCUCCACUACAAGAUGGACCUGCGUUGUAUUAGCUAGUAGGUGAGGUAAUGGCUCACCUAGGCGACGAUACAUAGCCGACCUGAGAGGGUGAUCGGCCACACUGGGACUGAGACACGGCCCAGACUCCUACGGGAGGCAGCAGUAGGGAAUCCUCGGCAAUGGGGGCAACCCUGACCGAGCAACGCCGCGUGAGUGAAGAAGGUUUUCGGAUCGUAAAGCUCUGUUGUAAGUCAAGAACGGGUGUGAGAGUGGAAAGUUCACACUGUGACGGUAGCUUACCAGAAAGGGACGGCUAACUACGUG
rnacentral:rRNA from 1 species